CAUGUUGGAUUAUUUUUGUAACGUGUUGCAAAAUUACAGCCCAGUUUAAUGAACAGAACAUAAUUAUCUGGGGAGAAAUCCAUAACAAAUAUUUUAUUUUCGUUUUAACAGCGUCUACA